GACGAACGCUGGCGGCGUGCCUAAUACAUGCAAGUCGAGCGGACAGAAGGGAGCUCGCUCCCGGAUGUUAGCGGCGGACGGGUGAGUAACACGUGGGUAACCUGCCUGUAAGACUGGGAUAACUCCGGGAAACCGGAGCUAAUACCGGAUAGUUCCUUGAACCGCAUGGUUCAAGGAUGAAAGACGGUUUCGGCUGUCACUUACAGAUGGACCCGCGGCGCAUUAGCUAGUUGGUGAGGUAACGGCUCACCAAGGCGACGAUGCGUAGCCGACCUGAGAGGGUGAUCGGCCAAACUGGGACUGAGACACGGCCCAGACUCCUACGGGAGGCAGCAGUAGGGAAUCUUCCGCAAUGGACGAAAGUCUGACGGAGCAACGCCGCGUGAGUGAUGAAGGUUUUCGGAUCGUAAAGCUCUGUUGUUAGGGAAGAACAAGUGCAAGAGUAACUGCUUGCACCUUGACGGUACCUAACCAGAAAGCCACGGCUAACUACGUGCCAGCCGCCGCGGUAACAC
rnacentral:rRNA from 1 species